CCCAUUGGUUCGUCAUACAUGUUAAUGAAACAAAGUUUUGGUAGUUUAUUAAAGUUUCUAGGCGAUAGCAAUGAUAAAUUCGUGUACAUUUUAUGCAAUUGUACAUGUUUAAUCAAAUUCAAGUAUUAUUUCUUUUGGUUUUUGUUAUUUUAUAAUGGAUUAAAUUGAAAAUUAAGAAGAUUUAGAUUUGGAGUUAUAAAAGUCAGUAGCAAGUGAACGUUUGGAAACCAAGCGAUAAAAAUAAGAUAAAAACACGACAAGAUUGUGUAACAAUUUUACAUCGUACUGCAGCGCAAACAAAUAAUUCGGCAUAGGAACAACAAAUCACAAGGGUUUUAAUUUUUCAUUUUUUCUUUUUAAUUUAAUAAACAUUCAUAUAGUAUUCUUGGAGUUUAUAGAUAAUAUUAAUAGUAUUUAAUAAUAUACUGUACAAUAAAAUCUGUCAUAUUUUUGUAUCUCUUAAAUACAUUAAGUGAUUUUCA